AUCAUGCCUCACGCCCGUGAGGUAGAGUAGGAGGAAUGGGGGCCUCCUGCUCACUGUUUAAAGCGGCC
rnacentral:ncRNA from 1 species